AAGUCGUAACAAGGUUUCCGUAAGUGAACCUGCGGAAGGAUCAUUAUUGAAAUAAAAACACGGUUGGAGAUUUGAGCUGGCCUCCUGAGGAUGGCAUGUGCACAUCUCUUACUGUUUAUUAUCCCACCUGUGCAUGAUUUGUAGGCUGCCUAUUAGGUGUGUCUAUGUGUUUUAUAUAUACACAUGUAUUGUCUGUAGAAUGUUGGUAAAAAAAAAAAUAUUACAACUUUCAACAAUGGAUCUCUUGGUUCUCGCAUCGAUGAGGAACGCAGCGAAAUGCGAUAAGUAAUGUGAAUUGCAGAAUUCAGUGAAUCAUCGAGUUUUUGAACGCACCUUGCGCUCCUUGGUACUCUGAGGAGCAUGCCUGUUUGAGUGUCAUUAAAUUAUCAAAAUUGUCACGAUAGUGGUGAUUUUGGAUUAUGGGAGUUGCAGGACCGUUAACGGUUAGAGGGUCAAGCUCUCCUGAAAUGGAUUAGUAGAGCAAAAUGGAACUCUGUUGGUGUGAUAAGGAAAUUGAUCGUCAGAAAGAGUAACCAAAAGGCUUUGCUAUGUUGUUAUGAAAUGAUUUUGAAAACUGACCUCAAAUCAGGUAGGAUUACCCGCUGAACUUAA
rnacentral:rRNA from 1 species